rnacentral:rRNA from 1 species
GAUGAACGCUGGCGGCGUGCUUAACACAUGCAAGUCGAACGGAAAGGCUCCUGCUUGCAGGGGUACUCGAGUGGCGAACGGGUGAGUAACACGUGGGUGAUCUGCCCUGCACUUCGGGAUAAGCCUGGGAAACUGGGUCUAAUACCGGAUAGGACGAUGGCUUGGAUGCCAUUGUGGAAAGUUUUUCGGUGUGGGAUGAGCUCGCGGCCUAUCAGCUUGUUGGUGGGGUAAUGGCCUACCAAGGCGUCGACGGGUAGCCGGCCUGGGAGGGUGUACGGCCACAUUGGGACUGAGAAAGGGCCCAGCCUCCUCCGGGAGGCAGCGGUGGGGAAUAUUGCACAAUGGGCGAAAGCCUGAUGCAGCGACGCCGCGUGGGGGAUGACGGCCUUCGGGUUGUAAACUCCUUUCGCUAGGGACGAAGCGCAAGUGACGGUACCUGGAGAAGAAGCACCGGCUAACUACGUG